rnacentral:misc_RNA from 1 species
GCCGUUGCUUCAAUUAUGCAUCUGCCACGAAUCACACGCAAACAUUAUUUUUUCUUCUCUUUUCAUUGAUGUCUAAAAAUGAUAGGUUUAAUGUCUUUAUUUGAUGUAUUGGUGCUUACUAUACAGUUAUGUAUCUUAGUUUUACUUGUAUCUACCAAUAUAUAGUCAUUUUACAAACUUUGCAAAUUUUUCAGAAAAAAUUUGCUCAGCGCCAGGCCAUUACUGUUAAGUUGCAGCCGUUAUAGGCCAAUUUCCGUUGCUCACAACAGCGACCGCAAUUUGAAACAAUGUCCCAAACUCACCGUAGCAUAGAAGGAUAAACAUUUGUUUCCAAGAAACAAAAGCACAUUCACAUUUAGUUGAUGCACCAUAUAGCAGACCACGAAAAUGGUAACGAUUAUAUGAUUGCAAUAACUAGGAAGGAAAAAAAUAAUAAAAUUCUUAAUAAGCAAACUACAUAUUGAGUGCAUUAGGCCUAGGCAGUUUUUGAGGGAGAUAAAUGAAACCCCCACUUUAAGUGAAAGUAGCCUAAGCAACCAUUACACCAUAAGGAGUAUAUUAUGGCCCUUAUAUUUCACCUAUAUCCCAAUUGGUAGAGAAUUAUCACAACAUAUUCACAUCUUUCUGGGUGUCUUCACAGUUAUAGUCACAUCCACAUACACAUGAAAUAAUCCCAUGACAAAAACAUUUAAUAUAAUUUUGCAUCAAACCUUCUUAUUCCUUGCAAUUCU